GCGAGGGUGGCGAAAUUGGUAGACGCACUGGACUUAGGAUCCAGCCCACUCCGUGGAUGGGGGUUCGACUCCCCCCUCUCGCACCA
rnacentral:tRNA from 1 species